UGUUUACUAAAAGCACAACAUAGAACUCCUUCUGAUGGAGCUGGUAGACUUGAGAGACCCAUUUGAACAAAACCGAUGUUAUGGGGGUUCGGAUUUGUGAAUAUAAAUGUAUGGUAAACACCGGAAUAUCCAAACUCAAAGCUAAAAUCAGUAAAAGAUUGUUUAGGGACAGUGAAACCAGAAUGAACCGGCAAAGACACGAAACGGGAGACAGAUUAAUUCAAACGAAGUUGAAAUGUCACCGAUAUCUUGGUGUUAUCCGACCUGCAAUGCAAUGAAGGAAAGUAUUAGAAACCUUUCAUAAAAACAAGAUUGAACCAUAAAAAUUGAUCACAAGGAGAUCCUUGAGCAUUAAAAGCUUAAACUUUCACAGCGGAAUUUCGUAUCAAGCACAAAGAUUAUUCGAUCAAAUCAAAAAGAGAUGGAGAUCAUGAAUACGCAAAUAAACAGAAUAACAAAACCGAUCCAGCAAAUCCACAAAAUAUAGGGACAUGAAAAGUGCAUGACCUGUAGAAGAAUUGAAAAUUCAAUACCUUUUCUUCUUAAAACACCCCCUUCCCCCUAAUCUCAAUGAAAUGUUAAAAAAUAUAACUGAAAUAACCAUGCUUUAUACCCUAGACUUUAAAAAGAGCAGAACAAAUUAUUUCCUCAAAUCCAGCAGAUAAAAAUUUGAAGCAAAAAAUAAGCAUGUACCAAAUUAAAGAAAAACCAUUGAGAAAGCUUCUUACCACCAUCAAGAUCUAGCAAAAAUUUGACCAUGAUGAAGCCUAAAACCAGUGUUAAAAUCACAAGAUCAAUACCAAAUUAAAGACAAAACAGAUAAAGCAAGCAACUUGAUCUCACCCCACAACCCAAUUUCCUAAACCCAGCACACCCAGCACCAAAUGUCUCAUAAGAUCUAGAAUUCUUCGAAUUAAUCCCUCAAAAAACCAUUAAAAAUGCAUUCUUUUGAUUACUAACAGAAAAAAUGAACAAUUUUGAUCAAACCCAGAAAAGAAAAAUGAAGAAACAAGCAGAAAAUAAAGUCUGCAACUUCAAAAAAUGGCUGAGAAUUUAGACUUACAGAGUGAAGACUUUUGGAGCUUUUAAGCUUUUUCAGUCCUUAUAAAAACAGAGUACCGACCAGAGGAGCUGAAGGAAGAAGAAGAAGAAGGGAUUCUAGGGAUUUUAGGCAGCUGUCACACACACACAAUCAGCAUAUAAAUAUAUAUUUUGUUUUACAAUGGCUGCUCUGCACAAUCCGUUCCUCACUAUAUAUAUAUAUAUAGCAGGAGGAACAAUCCUCACCAAAGAUUACCGGCAACUUAACCCAAGUUGUCUAACCAUGGUUAGGCUUCCGUCCUUUGCGGACUCCAUCUUCUGUUAACCAUGGUUACUUUAUAUCAACAUCUUGCUCUGUUUACAGGCUUUUUAACCUGCUUUUCUUCCCAUUUUCAUGUCUCAGCUUUCAUGUCUUGUUUUGGUAAAACAUUCUCUCGUUUUACUUGCCAAUUUUAUCUUCAUGGAGCUUUGUGUUCGAUUUACCUACCUAGUAUAGCAUGACAAGAUUUAUCUGCAAAGAUGAUGUCAUGGAAAAUUACAUGGCAAAUGGUGUGAUUUUAUUAAGAGCUUUACUAUAUGCCAUCUUUUAUGGUUGAAGACUCGAAAUACUUUUAAAUGUUAGAAUGUCUUAAUUUCUGAUUUGGUGUUGCUUUUUUUUUUUUUGAAACAAUUUGAUGUUGCUUUUUCACGCUUUUAUUUUCUUCUUUUGCACUUCUCCCCUUAAUUAUAUCUUCCGAAUCUAGGAGCGCGGCCCUGCAUAAGUCUGCUAGGGCCUUGGUCCCAGCCUCAAGCAGCUCUCACCCUCCCUCUUUACAUUCCCAACAAAUAUGGAAUGCUAGUAUCGUGACUGCUUGAGUCUCUGCUAAUUUAUUCAACCAAAAGAUUGAAAAAAAUGAGAGUGGAGGAAAGAAAUAGAAAUUCAAAAUCAUUACCCUUCAUCUCUCCUCCUUACACAUAAUCUCUUGCAACAAAGUGAAUCGUCAGAUGAAUUUACAUUUGUAACAAGAGUUUCACAAUUGAAUUAAUAUUUUUUAACACAUCAAAGGGUCGUGCAACUUGAGUCAUUUUGUAUAUAUAGUCAGUUGUAUAGAUGUAUUUAUCUCGUUUAUUGUGUAAUAAAGAAAAUAAAUAAAUGUUAAGGAGACUUUCUCAAAAGUAAAAUUCUUCAUGAACUCUCCCCAUCACAUUUUUUUAACAUUCUGUGCUAAUAUAAUUAAACAUAACGUCAAAAACAUAAAGUGCCAAAAAAUCCAUUAAGAAUCUCACUUUAAGAGAUGUUAGUGUUUAUCUAAAGAAAAAGGAGGUGGAUUGUCUGCCCUCCCAUUUCCAUACUCUUCUCAUCUCUUCCUGUUUGUGUGGUCACGGUUAAGCCACGUUAACAUUUUAUAUUCCUAUUACUUUUUGUUUUAUUAUUUCUAUAAAAAAUUAAUAUAAAAUGUUGACGUGGCUUAAUCAUGAUUACAUAUAACAAGAGAACAUAAAAAAAAGUAUGAAAAUGAAAGGGCACACAAUCCACCUUCAAAAAAAAAAAAAAUCUCAAAUUCUAUAGACUCAUCAUGUCAUGUUAUCGAGUGGCCAAAAUAUAGGUAAGAUUGUCCCUCCAUUCUAAGAUUUCGCCUCCAAUAGACAUGUGUCAUGGGAUGUCUGAUUACAUGUCAUCUUUCACCAAUUGUCGCAUGCCAAUGUGUCCCAUUGCUACAAAUUCUCUCUGCACAUAGGUGCAUAUGUGUCUACAUUUCUAGGUAAGGUUUUGUUUGGACUACCCUUUUCUCCGAAAGUAACCCUUGCCUACGUGUCGUUUCUUCAAAGGAGCACUAGAAAAACGACAUGGUAGUGGGCCAAUGGGAGCCGAGCACCCCAAUCAUCAGCACCAUUUUCCACGCGGCAAAUGGCCACACGAUAUCAACUACCACUAGCCAUGCAUGGUCCAUAAGGAUGAAGAUAAACCUUCUUUUUGGGGUUUUAACCUUUUUCUUCAAGGCUUGGGAACUUUCACAUCUUACAGAUUCUCUUUUGCCAAUUUCAUAGCCAAAAGAAAAAGGAGAGGGAGUGUCUUGCAAGUUUAUAUUUUGUGUAUUUAGGGUUACAGAUACAUCUUUCCUGGAAUCUGAUCUGAUCCCAUAAAAACAUGCCAAAAUGUCCUUUUGGUUUCGUAAAUAAUUGAACGGAGUGGUUCAUGCUUGCACGCAAAGGAAAGACCAAAACUAUACAAAUGGAUAGUCACUUGCCACAUCAAAACCAAGGGCGGAGUCAGGAUUUUUUUCUUGGAUGGGCUAGUUGAAAAUAGUACUAUAAAAUUAUAUGUUUAUUUUUUUUGCUUAUAUAAAAUAUAUAAUAAUCAAUAUAAAAGAACAACAAUAUAAUAUAAACUAUUCUCAAAAUCAUAACCAUAACUGAUAAAUUCAAGGACCAUAUAAAUAAUUAACCUACUAAUUAAAUCAAGAAUAAGUAAAUAAAGAGAUUAAGAACGUACCAAAUGUGACAUCCAUUGAAAAAGUGCAACGGAAAGUCAGGAAUUGCAGAGAUAAGAAUUUAAUUGUGUAUUUAAAGAACUUAUUAAUCUUUUCUUGAGUAAGAAGCACAUAGGCUAAACUACAUAGGGUAAAUUGUAUUUUCCUUUAAAGAAUAGAAUAAAGGGGGACUAGAGAUAGAACUAAUUUAUAAUUUUUAGCAUAAAACUAUUAUUUACUACCUCUCCUCUACUAAAUAUACAUUAAAUAAUAAUAUGUAUUGAAAUUGAGUAGGCUAUAAGCAUGAGUUUACAAAAAAAUAGAUCUAUUUACAAACUCAUUUUUACUUCAAACACAUCCUUAUUAAUAUUUUGUUAGUGAUCAUUUUCAAUUCAUUCGAUCCGAACAACUAAUAAUUAAGAGAAGUGUGUAAGAAAUAAAAAUGAGUGAAUGGAUAACACUACCCUUACAGAAAACCUCUCUGGGCUACAACCCACCUUAACCUUAUGAGUGGCUACGCCAUUGAUCAAAACUAUGUUUUUUCUACGUUUGUCCUCUUGUUAUUCGAGGUUAUAUCUAUUAUUUUAGAGUUUAUUUUGAUUUGAUAUCACGCGUUUUGCAAUGUGUACUAAAAUUGCGUUUUUCUUGUCAAAUAUGACGUGUUAAGUUCUAAUAUUAUAAUAAGUUAUUGGUAAUUAAAAAGUUGAUUUCUCACUGUGCAUGAGUGUAAAAUGUUCACACUCGUACAACUUUAUACAUUAUUUGACUUUUGUAUGGGGUUGAAAGAAAUAUUCUAACGCGUUGAAGGUUUCUACCAAAAGAAAAGGACUUUCGCUAUGUAUAUAAUAAACACCAUUUGUACUAGUAAGUUAAAGAUUGCUUACCCAACUUGAUUGGAUUGAUGUUGGAUUAGUGAUCUAAAUGCUGCUUUGUGAUUGAGUAUAAAUAUUAAAACAUAUCUAACUCUUCCAAACUUUCAUCAUAAGAUUACGUAGAUAACUUCAUCUUUGGAAAUGCCAACUUUGCAAAUUAUGAUUGAUAAUGAUAUAUUUGUAAUAAGUAGCUUGGUAUUGUUCUUUAGUCAAACAAUAAGACAUUUUAGUGAUUGAUAGGUGAGCAAAGAUUUUGUAAAUCUCUUAUUUAUUAACAGUAUUUAUCCAUGCACUCAGUUAUUGCAUGAAUUCUUUACUUAUUUUACAUUUCAAGAAAGAGGUAUUGACCGAUUUUUCCCGUCCCACGCAAACUUGUAAGGAGUUACUAGUUUUCCUGCUGAACUUUAAUUUUGAACUUUUAUAAUUGGUCAAUUUCUCUCCUUAAUUUUAAUUUUAACCGAUUAUUUUUCUGAAUUUUUAUAAUUGGCCAGUUCCCCCCAUUGGGAACUCAAUUUCCCCCCUAAAUUCUAAAAUUCAAACAAAAAAGUGUAGGAGGUGAACUAGUGGAGGAGAAGAAGAACAAGAAAACAAUAUGUUGUCCACAUUAGGGAUAAAAUUAUCUUUCUGCAAUUAGAAAUUUAAAGUUCAAGAAGAAAAUUGACCAAUAGAAGUUCGGGGUAGGGGUAAUCGACUAAAAUUAAAGUAUAGAGAGAAAAAUUGGCUAAUUAAAAUAUUUAGAUAUGACUAAAAUUAAAUCAUAGAAGAAAUUGACAACUCCUUAUAAAUUCGAAAUGAAGGACGAAAGAAAUUGAGAAAUACCUCGUCAAGAAAUGACAUAUGACGUUACUAUACAUGCAUGGUAAAACUUGAGACGUGUACUAGACAACAUUGUUGGUGACUCCUUUUAAUGGCCGUUGGCUGGUGCACACACAAUGGACAGGGACCUGCACAUGCACAGUUUGUAAUAUAAUCUGGAAAAAUAUAUUGAAGCCUGACAAGUUCAAACGCUUCUGGAUGCAAUAAUACAGAUCCGACAGGCAUCAAGCACAAAUUUGAUGAUGAAAUGUAUAUAUUCGCAUCGAUAAGUUUUGUCUCCAUGUCAUGAAUAAAGGAGUGGAAACCAGAGAUUCUGGGUGUCUCAUUCUCCUCCUCCAAACAAUCUCCUAAUCUAAAAUUAAAAUAAAUAAAACUCUCCAAAUCUCUUCACAAAUUAGCAUACGUACGGCCAGUCCGCAUCUUAAACCCUAAACCCUAAACUCGAAACACCAUAUACCUACGUUCUCAUAUCUUUCCGUUUAACUAUGCAUGCUAUUGUUUUGUAGUGAAAACUUCAUUUGUUUUAUAUAACUACGUUCAACAAAUUUAAAUUGCGAAAAAAAGCUUAAUCUAUAAUUUGAGUACAUGGCGCAGUAUACAUAUUCAUUAACUACUACGGCUACGUUCACAUUUGCAUGCGCUAUUAUUUGUUUAUUUUAAGGAAUAACUUAAUAUAGAUUCAAUUUGUGAGCCAUUAGUAGAAUUAGUCUACUUCAUUGAAAUAGGUUUAAUAAUUGAGAUUUCACGUAUGCUUAUUUGUGGUUUGUACCAUAUUUACCCCUUAGGCUUAUAAAUUGUAGUAAAUACACAAAAUUUCUUAAUUAUGGGAUUAUUUGUGGUUUAACUAAUCCGUUAAUUGUAGGAUUAGUUAUAGCCAUAUAAUCACCUCAACCCCCAGUCUGUUUCAUCCCUUCUUUUUUCCUUCUUCCAAAGAAUCCCCUCUAUCAAUCCUCCUCUUUUUUGUCUCUUCUUUUCAUGGUUGAUAUUUUUGUGUUCUUCUCUCCAAAUUCGUUCCUUUAAUGGAGGUAUAUUAUAUCAUAUUGGGAUUUUUGAACAUUAGUCCUUGCAAAAGAUUAAAAUUAAAAAAAAACCUGAUGCUAGAUUAAAUAUUCAAUUUAAUCCCUUGAGUGUACUUUUAUCAAAAUUUACAUUCACUUUUUCUUAUUUAAUGUGUAUUUUUAUUUAAUCUCUCCAUAUUAAAUUUUAAUUUUAUUAAUAUGCACAUAUUUAAUUUGUUUUAAUUAGAAAUGAAUGUAAAUGAGAAAAUAUUAAAAAAAAAAUUGUGAUAAAAAAAUAUAUAGAUACAUAAGUGUACAAAAAUGAUUGUGCCAAA
rnacentral:lncRNA from 1 species